rnacentral:rRNA from 1 species
AACGAACGCUGGCGGCAGGCUUAACACAUGCAAGUCGAACGGAUCCUUCGGGAUUAGUUGCAGACGGGGGGGUAACGCGUGGGAACGUACCCUUUGCUACGGAAUAACUCACUGAAACUUAAGCUAAUACCGUAUGUGCCCUACGGGGGAAGGAUUUAUCGGCAUAGGAUCGGCCCGCGUUGGUUUAGUCAGUUGGUGGGGUAAUCGCAUACCAACGGGACGAUGCAUAGCUGGUCUGAGAGGAUGACACGUCACACUGGGAAUGCGACACGGCCUAGUAUCGUACGGGAGGGAGCAGUGUGGAAUAUUGGGCAAUGGGCGCAAGUCUGAUACAGCCAUGUCGGGUGAGUGAGGAAGCUGGUAGGAUUGUAAAUCCGUUUGACAGGUGGAGUUAGUGACGGUAGCCGGAGAAGAGGCACCGGCUAACUUCGUG